UGGGAAGUUUUGGUACACCUACCUUGUGAUUCCAGCAUUCGGGAUAUAUAAAUCUUCUGGUUUAAUUAGGGGUUUAUUGUCGCAAGGAUCAGAGGAUGAACCUAAGGACGAGAAGACUCGCAAGAAGAGGGAAAAGAUGGAGAAGAAAGCUUCAAGAGUGAAAUUUGUGAAGACCAAGAAUAGAUAAUCUUCUCUUCAAAUGAAAACCAAUCAACUUGAGUUAUCAGAUGCAAAUUUGAGCAAAGAUGGAUUGCAGACACAGACAAGUCUAGGUA
rnacentral:misc_RNA from 1 species